GUCAGUGUAGCGUAGUGGUUUGUGUAGUGGACUAUGCCUCUGGAGACCAGGGUUCGAUUCUCUGCUUGGCCA